rnacentral:lncRNA from 1 species
CUAGCCCGGUCUUCAGGGCCGCGAGAUCCGCGGGUCCGGCGCCCGCCCGACCCGACGAGGGGAGGAGGAGCUGUGCAAGACGGGAAAACUCGGGAGCCGCUAGGAAGAGGAGUGUAAAGCUUUGAGCUGUGGGAAUAGGAGGAUGGCUGUGGACGGCCGAGCGCUCGCGAGGCGAGACAGAGACCAGUUAUUUCAAGGCAUAUGUGGAGAAUGAUAUUCAUUACCAUCAACACAGAAGAGGCAUAGAAAAUUCACCAUCUAUCCAACUGGCUGUCUUGGGACCAGAAUUCCGAGCUCAGAAUUCUAUGGCAGGGCUAUUCCCAAGACACCUGAUGGACAUCAUGGACUGGAAGUUUGUACCUUGGAUCCAUUGCUAAUUGUAAGAAAUAUUUGACUCCUACUAUUGGUUUAGUUAAAGGUAAUCAGUUCUACCUUGCACCUCAGCAUUGGUUGUGGUUUUCUGGAGCUCUGUGUUGAAGAUUUUGAGACUGAGUGAACUCUGUCAGCAGGUGCUAG